AUUUGUCAGGAGGAGGAGGUCCAGGUGCAGGGGGCAGAUGUGUGUAGCCAGGUAUGAGGAUACAGAAAACAUGGGGUAGGUUUCUUUGCUAGAGGCUGAAAAGUCAGCAAAGAGUAAAGAGCUUCAAGAAAAAAACAAGAGAAGAGAGGUGUUCCUGGUGGGGCCCAGCCUAGAGAGGAAGAAGAGCAUUUGAAAUUAAAAGAUUCCAGAGCUAAAACUUCACUGAGCUUAAAGAAAAUCAAUUCCCGCAAGUUGGGCAUCAAGGUACCCACCUGCUGAACUGCUGUAAGAUCAAAUUCCUUCAGCAGAGGCCCCAGGGUGCAUUAAGCGGGCCAGGUUUGUCACUGGGAGAUGGUUCCAUGUCAGUCACUGUCACCCCUAACCCCAGCUGGUGGCAAUCCAUCUGUGCUUGUCAGCCACGAUGGUGGUUAUGGGCACUCGUGCGUUAAGCUGGCACUUAGUCCACUGUGAGCCUGAGAGUAGUGCUAGACCUUCCCACAGGGAGAGGCCUC